AUUACUCCUCCUUCAACAUUACAGUUAAUGACCUUUUCUCAAUUUGUUCAGCUUCUUAAUUACUUAUACUUUUUGUAUACUGGUAGUAUUUAUUUCUGAGAGCUAUAUAGUACUUGGUCCAAGUCAAUGACCAGCUUCUUGAUAUAGACCCCAACUUCCCAGGAGAAUAUAGGGGCAAAAUAAAGCAGGAAAAAGGUACAAAUUAGCUUUGUGAAUUUGGGUUCUUGAAUUUGUAAGAGUUUGUUCAAUUUGACUUUCAAUUCUUUAGUUUUUUGUUUUUUGUGCUACUGUUUCUGGGUUUUUAUCUUUUUCUUGAGUGUUGUAGAAUUUAGUUACAUUUUAGGGAUUUUACUGAUUAAAGACUUGUUCUUUAUUAAGUUUAUGUAGCUGUCUGCCCUUAGAUUUUCCUGUGCUUUGGUGCUAAAUUUUCUCCUUUCUGUUUGAUUUUUGUUCCCUUUUAAUAGCUGGUGGGCUGGAUGAUGUUGAGCAUAAGGUUCUUUUAGGAAAAAGCCCAUUUUUUUUAAAUAAACAUGUGUAGUCAUUGCUAAAUAGGAUUGUUGUUGAAUGACAGUGGUAUAUGAGCCAUCGAGCACUUUGAUUAGUCCACCUGGUGCCUGCUACCUCACACCGGCACAUGUAC
rnacentral:lncRNA from 1 species